UUAGAUACCCUAUUAUUAAAAAUGUAAAUUUUUUUUUACUUAAUUAGUAUUAGUUAUGUUCUUGAAAAUUAAAAAAUUUGGCGGUAUUUUAGUCUUUUCAGAGGAACCUGUUCUAUAAUCGAUAGUCCACGAUUAGAUGCACUUUAUUUAUUAGUUUAUAUAUCGUCGUAGUUUAAAUAUUUUAAUAGAAUUAUAAAUAUUUAAAAUUUUUUAUUAAAAAAUAAAUCAGAUCAAGGUGUAGUUUAUAAUAAAGAAGAAAUGGGUUACAAUAAAUUUAUUUGAAAAUAAUUUUUGUUAAAAAAAUUUGAAUUUGGAUUUGAGAGUAAUUUUUUAGAUUUUUUUAAGAUGAUUAAAGCUCUAAAAUAUGUACACAUCGCCCG
rnacentral:rRNA from 1 species